CAAAUGAAUUGACGGGGCCCGCACAAGCGGUGGAGCAUGUGGUUUAAUUCGAUGAUACGCGAGGAACCUUACCUGGGCUCAAAUGUAUGUUGACGUAUUCUGAAAGGGAUACUUCUUCGGACAAUAUACAAGGUGCUGCAUGGUUGUCGUCAGCUCGUGCCGUGAGGUGUCGGGUUAAGUCCCAUAACGAGCGCAACCCUAUCAUUAGUUGCCAUCAGGUCAAGCUGGGGACUCUAAUGAAACUGCCUACGCAAGUAGUGAGGAAGGUGGGGAUGACGUCAAAUCAGCACGGCCCUUACGUCCAGGGCUACACACGUGCUACAAUGGCCGGUACAAAGGGCAGCUACCUGGUGACAGGAUGCUAAUCUCAAAAGCCGGUCUCAGUUCGGAUCGGAGUCUGCAACCCGACUCCGUGAAGCUGGAUUCGCUAGUAAUCGCGCAUCAGCCACGGCGCGGUGAAUACGUUCCCGGGCCUU
rnacentral:rRNA from 1 species